AAGAGUUUAUAGGCUUUGGUCUACUACUCCACCCUUUGUUUACAAUACCAUUGUUGCUUUGGCAGGCCCGUCGCAAGACAACCGGCUUCGGCUGGUCAGUGCCUGCCAAAGGACCUAAAACUCACGUUUAUAUUAUUGUCUGAGUACUAUAUAAUAGUUA
rnacentral:misc_RNA from 1 species